rnacentral:rRNA from 1 species
CGACGCCGGGCUUCGGCCUGGUUAUUCAUAACCCUUUGUUGUCCGACUCUGUUGCCUCCGGGGCGACCCUGCCUUCGGGCGGGGGCUCCGGGUGGACACUUCAAACUCUUGCGUAACUUUGCAGUCUGAGUAAACUUAAUUAAUAAAUUAAAACUUUUAACAACGGAUCUCUUGGUUCUGGCAUCGAUGAAGAACGCAGCGAAAUGCGAUAAGUAAUGUGAAUUGCAGAAUUCAGUGAAUCAUCGAAUCUUUGAACGCACAUUGCGCCCCCUGGUAUUCCGGGGGGCAUGCCUGUUCGAGCGUCAUUUCACCACUCAAGCCUCGCUUGGUAUUGGGCAACGCGGUCCGCCGCGUGCCUCAAAUCGUCCGGCUGGGUCUUCUGUCCCCUAAGCGUUGUGGAAACUAUUCGCUAAAGGGUGUUCGGGAGGCUACGCCGUAAAACAACCCCAUUUCUAAGGUUGACCUCGGAUCAGGUAGGGAUACCCGCUGAACUUAAGCAUAUCAAUAAGCGGAGGGAAAAAGAAAUGUCCUAA